rnacentral:tRNA from 1 species
GAGGGCAUAACUCAGUGGUAGAGCGCAUGCUUAGCAUGCUCAAAGUCCUGGGUUCAAUUCCCAGUACUUCCA